CAGUCGCCGCGGUAAUACGUAGGGUGCGAGCGUUAAACGGAAUUACUGGGCGUAAAGCGCACGCAGGCGGUUUGUUAAGUCAGAUGUGAAAUCCCCGAGCUUAACUUGGGAACUGCAUUUGAAACUGGCAAGCUAGAGUCUUGUAGAGGGGGGUAGAAUUCCAGGUGUAGCGGUGAAAUGCGUAGAGAUCUGGAGGAAUACCGGUGGCGAAGGCGGCCCCCUGGACAAAGACUGACGCUCAGGUGCGAAAGCGUGGGGAGCAAACAGGAUUAGAUACCCCUGUAGUCCCUGUCUCUUAUAC
rnacentral:rRNA from 1 species